rnacentral:rRNA from 1 species
ACUUAUCACUUUCGCUUAGCCACUGAGAUUGCUCCCAACAGCUAGUAUCCAUCGUUUACGGCGUGGACUACCAGGGUAUCUAAUCCUGUUCGCUACCCACGCUUUCGUCCAUCAGCGUCAAUCCAUUAGUAGUAACCUGCCUUCGCAAUUGGUAUUCCAUGUAAUCUCUAAGCAUUUCACCGCUACACUACAUAUUCUAGUUACUUCCUAAUAAUUCAAGUUUAGCAGUAUCAAUGGCCGUUCCACCGUUGAGCGAUGGGCUUUCACCACUGACUUACUAAACCGCCUACGGACCCUUUAAACCCAAUGAUUCCGGAUAACGCUUGGAUCCUCCGUAUUACCGCGGCUGCUGGCACGGAGUUAGCCGAUCCUUAUUCUUACGAUACCGUCAAGCUCCAACACGUUGGAGUGUUUCUUCUCGUACAAAAGCAGUUUACAAUCCAUAGGACCGUCAUCCUGCACGCGGCAUGGCUGGAUCAGGCUUGCGCCCAUUGUCCAAUAUUCCUCACUGCUGCCUCCCGUAGGAGUCUGGUCCGUGUCUCAGUACCAGUGUGGGGGAUCUCCCUCUCAGGACCCCUACCCAUCGUAGCCUUGGUAAGCCGUUACCUUACCAACUAGCUAAUGGGACGCAUGCUCAUCUUUUACCGUUGUGACUUUAAUAGUAUCUCGAUGCCGAGUCACUAUACUAUGAGGUAUUAAUCCAAAUUUCUCUGGGCUAUCCCUCUGUAAAAGGUAGAUUGCAUACGCGUUACGCACCCGUGCGCCGGUCUCUAUAUCCGAAGACAUAUACCCCUCGACUGCAUG